ensembl:lncRNA
GACAAGCCAGGCGCUUUUUCUGUGGGAACCAGGGUGUACUUGAAGAAAUCACCCAGAGACCACGGCAGAGAGGAACGAUCUGUUACCAUUCUCUCAAUUUGGCCUGCUUUUAUUUCUCUAAGAUCUCAGUUUGCAAUGCGGGGGUGUUACCCUGCUGUUUUUCCCCCUGGCAGAAAUGACAGCCAUGAAAAUCUCCAGGCUGCAUUUGAGCAGGUAUUUGUCAAUUUGAGCAGCAUAUAUUGAAUAAUAAUGAUAGUUAAUUCAGUGCUAAUUAUGUGCCAAGGAACAUUCUGAGUAUUUUACAGGAAUCAACUCACUGAAUCCUCACAACAACCCUAUGAGCAUGAAGGACAUUGGUUUCAGGUCUACACAGAACAAAAUGUAAUGGCACACUGGCAAAACUGAGCCACUUGGAGCUAUGGAAUAAACAUCUUACAUAUCUGAAUAUUUCACAGCAGAAUGCCUACACUUUGCUGUAAAUUCACGGAUAACGUGUAUAGGACUGUUGGUAUUCUCACUUUUCUGAAUAACUGGAAUGUGCAGACUUAAUCUUGGAGGAACAGUGAAUUUAAGGAGUAGACUUUAUGGCGUGAAUCUAAGAGGUGCUCCAGACUGGCCGUUGUUACUUGGUUGGCUUGUGGCCCAUGUGCAGUUCAGCGGGGUCUUGACACAGACUGGGGCAAAAAGAGGAAAUAACUACUUGAAAGUAGGGAUUCUAACCCACUGACCAAAAAGUCCCCGCUGGAAUUCUUCUCUGACUCAACUCAUUUCCUCCCAGCUUUCUGGUACGAUGGGUUUUUUUGUUUAUUUGGUUUUGCCUUUCAAUCUCUGAUAAAUCUGAAUUAUAGUCACUCUGUGAUGUGUGCUAUAGAAAAAAACAAAAAAGUAGAUUGUUUAGAAUCCUUGUUUAAACUGGAAUAACUGAUUCAGCUUUGAAAGUAAUACAUGAUCAUUUCCUGACCGGCAAAAGACCCCAAAUCCUGUGUGACCAGCGUUCGCAUUUAUGCAACUAAAAUGCCUCGAGUUUGUUUGCUGUCGUUGGGGGCUGGAUAGAAACGCCCUGCUGAUUGUCUAAAAUACGGUUGGCAGAGUCACUGACUAGAUAAUCUUACUUAGCUUGCAAACGUUGUUAGAAAACCAGCACAUGUCAUAUCAUAUUGUUUUUAAUGCAGUAAAGAGUCAGAUGAUACUGCACAGCUUGCACUGCGCGGGAAGGCCAUGUGCAGGCCUGGCUGCUCUGCUCGCCGAGUCCAAAUCAAUUAUGCUCUAAUCAAGACUGUUUCCGGAACUGGUCGGAUGGAAGUUCAGAGUGAAAAGGAAAAAUUGCUAUUUCUCUCCAGAUCCUGUUUGCAUCAGCAGACUCCAUCUGAGACACAUCCUGUGUGACCCCUGGCGUAGUGGGGGAGGGAGACUCUUCUGUUUGACUUUUGACUGUCGCUAAUCUGAAGGCCUUCACUUUUUUUUUUUUCAGGAAAAGUUUGAAUUAGUAUUAAAACCCAGUCAUCAUCCUCAGUCCAUAAGGAUACAGAGUCUGGGCUAUUCAUUUUCUCAAAUAGUGCAUCAGAAUCCCCAGGAAACUUAUUUAACAUGCAGAUUUCCAGCCCUACUUUGAGACACACUCUCUAGGAAGGUGCUGUUCUUGCAAACUACCCAGAUGACUCUGAAGUGCAAUCAAAUUCAAGAACUUGCAUCAGGACGAGGACUGCUCAAAUCCAGCUUCCUAAUCUUACGCCGUGGAGCCCAGCCGGGCCCAACUUCCCCACUGAUGCUCUAUUCCUGGGAAAAUUGUUUUGAAUUUGGGACACUUAAAAGGGACCUCCAAGAUAUGCCCCUGCCUGUGUGUGCAGGAAGACUUCAGGACAUCACCUGCAUGCAUUCCCAGGGAGGGGUGAGUGAGCCUGUCGUAAGGGGGGGUCUCCCAUCCGACUCUCACCAAGUUUUCACCAACACAUGUCAAAAAGAAAAAUAAGGGUAGAGGUAAAUUUAUUCAAAUUAUUUUGUGAUUCAUUAGCCAUAUCUUUCUGGAGAUGUUAAAAUGCCUGUCUUACUCUGUUCGGGCUGCUAUAACAAAAUACCACAGACUGGGUAGCUAUGAACAGAAAUUUAUUCUUCACAGUUCUGGAGACUAGGAAGUCCAAGAUGAAGGUUCCAGCAUGGGCAGUGGCUGCUGAGGAGCCCCUUCCUGAUUCAUCGCCACCACCUUCCCCUGUUCCUCACAUGGGGCAAGGAGCUAGGAAUCCAGAGGGAGCCUCUUUUAUAAAUCCCUAGUCCCAUUGUUCAGCACCUCCCAAAGGCCCCACCUCCUAAUAUCAUCGCCUUUUGGGCUAGGGUUUCAACAUACGAAUUUCGAGGGGACACAAACAUUUAGACCCUAGCAACAUCUGUUCUUUUAGAGAUUUAUUUUCAAUUUACUUACUUAUGUUUUGAAUCAUUGAUAUAUGAUGCCCCUUGCACAAAAUUCAAAAUGUACAAAAAUUUCCUACAUUGACAAUAUGGGAAAUCUCCCUCCUACCCCAGAAUUCUUGUUCCCAAACCCAGAAGCAGCGACUGUUACCAAUUUCUCAUUCUUCAAGAAAUGCUCUAUGCAUAUACAAGCAGAUAGAUUUACAGAAACUUUUUUUUUUUUUUUUGGUUAGGAAGAUUGGCCCUCAGCUAAGAUCUGUGCCAAUCUUCCUCUAUUUUGUAUGUGGGUUGCUGUCACAGCAUGGCUUGAUGAGCAGUGUAUAUGUUUGUGCCCAGAACCCAAACCUGGGAACCCUGGGCUGCUGAAAUGUGUGUGAGUGUGUGAAUUUAACCACUACACCACUGGGCCAGCAGGGAAACUCAUUUUUAAUACAUCAGGUAGCAUCUUGCAUCUUGCUUUAUUCACUUAACAAUAUAUUUUGGAGAUACUUCCAUGUCAGUACAUUUGGGGAAUCUUUUUUUUAAUUAAAUGAUAGUGAUGAUAUAUUGUAGCUAGGCAUUUUUUAAAUGUCCUAAAGACUAUACACACACACACA